rnacentral:rRNA from 1 species
AUUGAACGCUGGCGGCAGUCCUAACACAUGCAAGUCGAGCGGCGCGGCGGACGGGUAAGUAAUGCCUAGGAAUCUGCCUGUUCGUGGUGGAUAACGUACCGAAACGGGCGCUAAUACCCCAUACUAUCAGAUUAGCCUAGGUCGAAUUAGCUAGUUGGUGGGGUAAAGGCCUACCAAGGCGACGCUCCGUAACUGGUCUUAGAGGAUGAUCAGUCCCACUGGAACUGAGACACGGUCCAGACGCCUACGUGAGGCAGCAGUGGGGAAUAUUGGACAAUGGGCGAAAGCCUGAGGCAGCCAUGCCGCGUGUGUGAAGAAGGUCUUCGGAUUGUAAAGCACUUUAAGUUGGGAGGCGUUACCAACAGAAUAAGCACCGGCUAACUUCGUGCCAGCAGCCGCGGUAAUUC